UGGAUCAGUAAUACGCUCAGCUAUAUGG
rnacentral:sRNA from 1 species